rnacentral:lncRNA from 1 species
UGGCUAAUGGGUGGGGAGCACAGACAGUGCAGAUAUGCUGGACAAAGGAAGGAGCCCUUCCCCAGGUCGGACAAAGCAGCCCAGCACGCAAAUGCAUCAGGCUACUCAAAACAGCUUGCAAUUUCAAACCUGCCAAUUGUUUAUUUUUGGAAUUUUCCACUUAACAUUUUCAGACUGCAGUUGACUGCAAGAACAGUGCCAGAUCACAAAGCAGGCCCAGAAUAUUUAUUUUCAAGGGAAACGAAAAUUAUGUGGUUAUACAAGGGUUUUUGGAAAGAAACACAGACAAAAUAAAGACACUGCACUAAGCUGGCUGCACCAACUUAAAUUUCAAGAGGGCUGCAUCCUAAUGAUACAUCAUGGAGGAGAUGAAGAUGUAACAAUUAAAUCCAGCUAAUCAGGGGACAUGAAUAUUUCAGUGCACGCUAAAUACUGAUGCGAUACCCCAGGCGGAAACUCCCACAGAGAAGACUCUGUGACACCCUUGAAAGAGAAAGCAGCAGGAAGAAUAAAGAGGAGGCCACUGUGAUGGGCUGAUGAAAGAAAUGUUUCCUUGGGGUUUACGUUUAUUGGUUGUUUCUGACUUUCUCUAAAUGUACAGCGAUGGCUGUGGAAUUACUCUCCCGGAAAACCUUUCCAGACAGGGGCGAGUCUCAUCUCUCUGGGAUAAUGUGGGUGCAGCCCUGCCUGGGAGUUUUUUUACACCAAUAGAUGCGCUGGGGCAAAAAAGUGGUUACUGGGCAGUCUCCAAGAACGGAAGCAGCUGUGGCAAGGGAAUUCUCCAGAAUCUGUGAGGUUUCUAGCUGCAAAGAGCUUCAGUGAUAUCUGCUUGUCACCAGCAAGUCCUGGAACUCAUCAGUAACUGACCCUACUACAUGAGCCCCUACAUAAGGAAGGCUCUCCCUUCUCACCCUCAUGAUCCAUCUCCCACGGUUCUUAGCAAACCAUCAGUGCCAUGUUUUGACCAAGAAAAAGUAAAAUGGAAAGCUAUCCAAAUG